rnacentral:rRNA from 1 species
AUUGAACGCUGGCGGCCGGCCUAACACAUGCAAGUCGAACGAGUGGCGGACGGGUGAGUAGUGUCUGGGAAACUGCCUGAGGGAGGGGGAUCACUACUGGAAACGGUAGCUAAUACCGCAUACCAGCAGAUGUGCCCAGAUGGGAUUAGCUUGUUGGUGGGGUAACGGCUCACCAAGGCGAAGAUCCCUAGCUGGUCUGAGAGGAAGACCGUCCACACUGGAACGGAGACACGGUCCAGACGCCUACGGGAGGCAGCAGUGGGGAAUAUUGCACAAUGUGCGCAAGCCUGAUGCAGCCAUGCCGCGUGUAUGAAGAAGGCCUUCGGGUUGUAAAGUACUUUCAGCGGGGAGGCGUUACCCGCAGAAGAAGCACCGGCUAACUCCGUGCCAGCAGCCGCGGUAAUUC